rnacentral:rRNA from 1 species
UACGGAGGGGGCUAGCGCUGUUCGGAAUUACUGGGCGUAAAGGGCGCGUAGGCGGCGCGAUAAGUUGGGCGUGAAAGGCCCGGGCUCAACCCGGGGACUGCGCUUGAUACUGUCGCGCUGUGAGUCCGGGAGAGGAUGGCGGAAUUCCCAGUGUAGAGGUGAAAUUCGUAGAUAUUCGGAAGAACACCAGUGGCGAAGGCGGCUCACUGGACUGGUAUUGACGCUGAGGUGCGAAAGCGUGGGGAGCAAACAGG